rnacentral:rRNA from 1 species
CUCCAGAGUUUGAUCAUGGCUCAGGAUGAACGCUGGCGGCGUGCCUAAUACAUGCAAGUCGAGCGAACGGACGAGAAGCUUGCUUCUCUGAUGUUAGCGGCGGACGGGUGAGUAACACGUGGAUAACCUACCUAUAAGACUGGGAUAACUUCGGGAAACCGGAGCUAAUACCGGAUAAUAUUUUGAACCGCAUGGUUCAAAAGUGAAAGACGGUCUUGCUGUCACUUAUAGAUGGAUCCGCGCUGCAUUAGCUAGUUGGUAAGGUAACGGCUUACCAAGGCAACGAUGCAUAGCCGACCUGAGAGGGUGAUCGGCCACACUGGAACUGAGACACGGUCCAGACUCCUACGGGAGGCAGCAGUAGGGAAUCUUCCGCAAUGGGCGAAAGCCUGACGGAGCAACGCCGCGUGAGUGAUGAAGGUCUUCGGAUCGUAAAACUCUGUUAUUAGGGAAGAACAUAUGUGUAAGUAACUGUGCACAUCUUGACGGUACCUAAUCAGAAAGCCACGGCUAACUACGUGCCAGCAGCCGCGGUAAUACGUAGGUGGCAAGCGUUAUCCGGAAUUAUUGGGCGUAAAGCGCGCGUAGGCGGUUUUUUAAGUCUGAUGUGAAAGCCCACGGCUCAACCGUGGAGGGUCAUUGGAAACUGGAAAACUUGAGUGCAGAAGAGGAAAGUGGAAUUCCAUGUGUAGCGGUGAAAUGCGCAGAGAUAUGGAGGAACACCAGUGGCGAAGGCGACUUUCUGGUCUGUAACUGACGCUGAUGUGCGAAAGCGUGGGGAUCAAACAGGAUUAGAUACCCUGGUAGUCCACGCCGUAAACGAUGAGUGCUAAGUGUUAGGGGGUUUCCGCCCCUUAGUGCUGCAGCUAACGCAUUAAGCACUCCGCCUGGGGAGUACGACCGCAAGGUUGAAACUCAAAGGAAUUGACGGGGACCCGCACAAGCGGUGGAGCAUGUGGUUUAAUUCGAAGCAACGCGAAGAACCUUACCAAAUCUUGACAUCCUUUGACAACUCUAGAGAUAGAGCCUUCCCCUUCGGGGGACAAAGUGACAGGUGGUGCAUGGUUGUCGUCAGCUCGUGUCGUGAGAUGUUGGGUUAAGUCCCGCAACGAGCGCAACCCUUAAGCUUAGUUGCCAUCAUUAAGUUGGGCACUCUAAGUUGACUGCCGGUGACAAACCGGAGGAAGGUGGGGAUGACGUCAAAUCAUCAUGCCCCUUAUGAUUUGGGCUACACACGUGCUACAAUGGACAAUACAAAGGGCAGCGAAACCGCGAGGUCAAGCAAAUCCCAUAAAGUUGUUCUCAGUUCGGAUUGUAGUCUGCAACUCGACUACAUGAAGCUGGAAUCGCUAGUAAUCGUAGAUCAGCAUGCUACGGUGAAUACGUUCCCGGGUCUUGUACACACCGCCCGUCACACCACGAGAGUUUGUAACACCCGAAGCCGGUGGAGUAACCUUUUAGGAGCUAGCCGUCGAAGGUGGGACAAAUGAUUGGGGUGAAGUCGUAACAAGGUAGCCGUAUCGGAAGGUGCGGCUGGAUCACCU